rnacentral:rRNA from 1 species
GACGAACGCUGGCGGCGUGCCUAAUACAUGCAAGUUGAGCGCUGAAGGUUGGUACUUGUACCGACUGGAUGAGCAGCGAACGGGUGAGUAACGCGUGGGGAAUCUGCCUUUGAGCGGGGGACAACAUUUGGAAACGAAUGCUAAUACCGCAUAAAAACUUUAAACACAAGUUUUAAGUUUGAAAGAUGCAAUUGCAUCACUCAAAGAUGAUCCCGCGUUGUAUUAGCUAGUUGGUGAGGUAAAGGCUCACCAAGGCGAUGAUACAUAGCCGACCUGAGAGGGUGAUCGGCCACAUUGGGACUGAGACACGGCCCAAACUCCUACGGGAGGCAGCAGUAGGGAAUCUUCGGCAAUGGACGAAAGUCCGACCGAGCAACGCCGCGUGAGUGAAGAAGGUUUUCGGAUCGUAAAACUCUGUUGGUAGAGAAGAACGUUGGUGAGAGUGGAAAGCUCAUCAAGUGACGGUAACUACCCAGAAAGGGACGGCUAACUACGUG